rnacentral:rRNA from 1 species
GGAGUUUGGUCCGUGUCUCAGUACCAAUGUGGGGGACCUUCCUCUCAGAACCCCUACUGAUCGUCGCCUUGGUGGGCCGUUACCCCGCCAACUGGCUAAUCAGACGCAUCCCCAUCCCUUACCGAUGAAUCUUUGCUCCUCGUUAGAUGCCCGCAAAGGAGAACAUAGGGCAUUAAUCCGACUUUCGCCGGGCUAUCCCCUAGUAAGGGGAAGGUUGGAUACGCGUUACUCACCCGUGCGCCGGUCGUCAUCUGGCUGAGCAAGCUCCGCCAAUGUUACCCCUCGACUUGCAUGUGUUAAGCCUGUAGCUAGCGUUCAUC